rnacentral:rRNA from 1 species
GACGAACGCUGGCGGCGUGCUUAACACAUGCAAGUCGAACGAAGAGCGACGGAAGCUUGCUUCUAUCAAUCUUAGUGGCGAACGGGUGAGUAACGCGUAAUCAACCUGCCCUUCAGAGGGGGACAACAGUUGGAAACGACUGCUAAUACCGCAUACGAUCUAACCUCGGCAUCGAGGAUAGAUGAAAGGUGGCCUCUACAUGUAAGCUAUCACUGAAGGAGGGGAUUGCGUCUGUUUAGCUAGUUGGAGGGGUAACGGCCCACCAAGGCGAUGAUCAGUAGCCGGUCUGAGAGGAUGAACGGCCACAUUGGGACUGAGACACGGCCCAGACUCCUACGGGAGGCAGCAGUGGGGAAUCUUCCGCAAUGGACGAAAGUCUGACGGAGCAACGCCGCGUGAGUGAUGACGGCCUUCGGGUUGGAAAGCUCUGUUAAUCGGGACGAAAGGCCUUCUUGCGAAUAGUGAGAAGGAUUGACGGUACCGGAAUAGAAAGCCACGGCUAACUACGUG